rnacentral:rRNA from 1 species
UGGCGGCAGGCCUAACACAUGCAAGUCGAACGCCCUCUUCGGAGGGAGUGGCAGACGGGUGAGUAACGCGUGGGAAUCUACCUAGUGGUGGAGGAUAACUUCGGGAAACCGGAGCUAAUACUCCAUAAGCCCUUCGGGGGAAAGUUUUUUCGCCAUUAGAUGAGCCCGCGUUAGAUUAGCUUGUUGGUAGGGUAAUGGCCUACCAAGGCGACGAUCUAUAGCUGGUCUGAGAGGAUGAUCAGCCACACUGGAACUGAGACACGGUCCAGACUCCUACGGGAGGCAGCAGUGGGGAAUAUUGCACAAUGGGCGCAAGCCUGAUGCAGCCAUGCCGCGUGUGUGAUGAAGGCCUUAGGGUUGUAAAACACUUUCAUCGGUGAAGAUAAUGACGGUAGCCGAAGAAGAAGCCCCGGCUAACUCCGUGCCAGCAGCCGCGGUAAUACGGAGGGGGCAAGCGUUGUUCGGAAUUACUGGGCGUAAAGCGCACGUAGGCGGACUGAUCAGUUGGGGGUGAAAUCCCGAGGCUUAACCUCGGAACUGCCUUCAAUACUGUCAGUCUUGAGAUCGGAAGAGGUGAGUGGAAUUCCUAGUGUAGAGGUGAAAUUCGUAGAUAUUAGGAAGAACACAGUGGCGAAGGCGGCUCACUGGUCCGAUACUGACGCUGAGGUGCGAAAGCGUGGGGAGCGAACAG